UACGAAGGGUGCAAGCGUUACUCGGAAUUACUGGGCGUAAAGCGUGCGCAGGCGGUUCUAUAAGACAGAUGUGAAAUCCCCGGGCUCAACCUGGGAACUGCAUUUGUGACUGUAGAGCUGGAGUGCGGCAGAGGGGGAUGGAAUUCCGCGUGUAGCAGUGAAAUGCGUAGAUAUGCGGAGGAACACCGAUGGCGAAGGCAAUCCCCUGGGCCUGCACUGACGCUCAUGCACGAAAGCGUGGGGAGCAAACAGG
rnacentral:rRNA from 1 species